ACCUCCUGAUACGCAUUAGACUCACCCCGUCUUCCCGGACCCUCCCUUCUGGCCUUCUGCAUCUCGCUAGAUCGAACUGCAGCCACACGAGCGCCUCCUCCACAUCUCACCGCAUGAACCAGCACCCACCAGCGCCACAUUCUGCAUGCCCUCGCCGCCGUUCGGAGUGGCCGUGCCCUCUCCCACCGCUGCCGUACCGUCUCCACCAACUCCGGCCUCCAGCAGCUGCCGUCCACAUCCGGACUCCAGCCAGGCAACCAGCGCUGCACGGAUCAGCCAGCCGACCAACGGCCGGCCCCGGCACCAGCGCAGCAAUUCCCACCGCCCGCCGUCGAGGCCUCAGCUCCAAGCGCCGCGGUCCGAAUCAUCCGCAGGCAACCACGGCCGUCCCUGCGACUUCAGCUGCUAGGCACAGGAGGGAGUGAAGGAGAUCGUCGCUGCUAGGAGGUCAACGAGGAGGACAGCCACCCAGACAGCGACCUACGUUUCCCUGCAUCGAUGUAGUGUCAUGCUUGCCGGCCAGCUGCCCUCUCUAUUUCCCCUAAGCCUUUUGCUAAUUUUUGCUUCAUUUGAUCAACUCUGUUCACCAGUUAUCAGGCAAUGGAGUUGACCUGUUUAGUUAUCUUCUAAUUGGGGUCUCAUUAUAUUGUUUAAGGAGGUCAUUGUAAACUGAAACGAGACUCCAAAACUUCAAUUUUAUCUCGUAAUAUUCACAUA